rnacentral:rRNA from 1 species
ACUUAAAUUGAAGAGUUUGAUCAUGGCUCAGAUUGAACGCUGGCGGCAGGCCUAACACAUGCAAGUCGAGCGGUAGCACAGAGAGCUUGCUCUCGGGUGACGAGCGGCGGACGGGUGAGUAAUGUCUGGGAAACUGCCUGAUGGAGGGGGAUAACUACUGGAAACGGUAGCUAAUACCGCAUAAUGUCGCAAGACCAAAGUGGGGGACCUUCGGGCCUCAUGCCAUCAGAUGUGCCCAGAUGGGAUUAGCUAGUAGGUGGGGUAAUGGCUCACCUAGGCGACGAUCCCUAGCUGGUCUGAGAGGAUGACCAGCCACACUGGAACUGAGACACGGUCCAGACUCCUACGGGAGGCAGCAGUGGGGAAUAUUGCACAAUGGGCGCAAGCCUGAUGCAGCCAUGCCGCGUGUGUGAAGAAGGCCUUCGGGUUGUAAAGCACUUUCAGCGGGGAGGAAGGCGUUAAGGUUAAUAACCUUGGCGAUUGACGUUACCCGCAGAAGAAGCACCGGCUAACUCCGUGCCAGCAGCCGCGGUAAUACGGAGGGUGCAAGCGUUAAUCGGAAUUACUGGGCGUAAAGCGCACGCAGGCGGUCUGUCAAGUCGGAUGUGAAAUCCCCUGGCUCAACCUGGGAACUGCAUUCGAAACUGGCAGGCUAGAGUCUUGUAGAGGGGGGUAGAAUUCCAGGUGUAGCGGUGAAAUGCGUAGAGAUCUGGAGGAAUACCGGUGGCGAAGGCGGCCCCCUGGACAAAGACUGACGCUCAGGUGCGAAAGCGUGGGGAGCAAACAGGAUUAGAUACCCUGGUAGUCCACGCCGUAAACGAUGUCGAUUUGGAGGUUGUGCCCUUGAGGCGUGGCUUCCGGAGCUAACGCGUUAAAUCGACCGCCUGGGGAGUACGGCCGCAAGGUUAAAACUCAAAUGAAUUGACGGGGGCCCGCACAAGCGGUGGAGCAUGUGGUUUAAUUCGAUGCAACGCGAAGAACCUUACCUGGUCUUGACAUCCACAGAACUUAGCAGAGAUGCUUUGGUGCCUUCGGGAACUGUGAGACAGGUGCUGCAUGGCUGUCGUCAGCUCGUGUUGUGAAAUGUUGGGUUAAGUCCCGCAACGAGCGCAACCCUUAUCCUUUGUUGCCAGCGGUUCGGCCGGGAACUCAAAGGAGACUGCCAGUGAUAAACUGGAGGAAGGUGGGGAUGACGUCAAGUCAUCAUGGCCCUUACGACCAGGGCUACACACGUGCUACAAUGGCAUAUACAAAGAGAAGCGACCUCGCGAGAGCAAGCGGACCUCAUAAAGUAUGUCGUAGUCCGGAUUGGAGUCUGCAACUCGACUCCAUGAAGUCGGAAUCGCUAGUAAUCGUAGAUCAGAAUGCUACGGUGAAUACGUUCCCGGGCCUUGUACACACCGCCCGUCACACCAUGGGAGUGGGUUGCAAAAGAAGUAGGUAGCUUAACCUUCGGGAGGGCGCUUACCACUUUGUGAUUCAUGACUGGGGUGAAGUCGUAACAAGGUAACCGUAGGGGAACCUGCGGUUGGAUCACCUCCUUACCUUAAAGAA